UUGUUAGUCUCUUUAAGAGAUACUGAGAAAAAAUGCUUUUGUUGAUAUCUUUUUGUGUUGUUUGCUUUUUAAUGUCUUUAAGUUUUUGAAGGGUCCCAGCCAAUUAUCUUUAGAAUGUCCCACCCAACUUUGGAUUUGUCUGUUUCCUCAGAAUUAGAUUUACCUGAAUUUAUCAUGUUAAACAUUUUUCACAGUGAUACCACAUCUGUGAUGUUGUGUAAUUAUGCUAACACCGUAUCAAAAGGCACCUAAUGCCAACAUAAAGUUUAUGAUAUAUAAAUUUGUAAUUGGCAGCAACAAAGACUUAAUUGCUUGAAUCAUUUUUUCCUUUUUCAAAUAGACAACGACUGAAAGACCUUUCAUUCAGAAGCUGUUUCGUCCUGUGGCUGCAGAUGGACAGUUGCACACACUAGGAGAUCUCCUCAAAGAAGUUUGUCCUUCUGCUAUUGAUCCUGAAGAUGGGGAAAAAAAGAAUCAAGUGAUGAUUCAUGGAAUUGAGCCAAUGUUGGAAACACCUCUGCAGUGGCUGAGUGAACAUCUGAGCUACCCGGAUAAUUUUCUUCAUAUUAGUAUCAUCCCACAGCCAACAGAUUGAAGGAUCAACUAUUUGCCUGAACAGAAUCAUCCUUAAAUGGGAUUUAUCAGAGCAUGUCACCCUUUUGCUUCAAUCAGGUUUGGUGGAGGCAACCUGACCAGAAACACUUCGCUGCUGCAAGCCAGACAGGAAAAAGAUUCCAUGUCAGAUAAGGCAACUGGGCUGGUCUUACUUUGCAUCACCUCUGCUUUCCUCCACUGCCAUCAUUAAACCUCAGCUGUGACAUGAAAGACUUACCGGACCACUGAAGGUCUUCUGUAAAAUAUAAUGAAGCUGAAACCUUUGGCCUAAGAAGAAAAUGGAAGUAUGUGCCACUCGAUUUGUAUUUCUGAUUAACAAAUAAACAGGGGUAUUUCCUAAGGUGACCAUGGUUGAACUUUAGCUCAUGAAAGUGGAAACAUUGGUUUAAUUUUCAAGAGAAUUAAGAAAGUAAAAGAGAAAUUCUGUUAUCAAUAACUUGCAAGUAAUUUUUUGUAAAAGAUUGAAUUACAGUAAACCCAUCUUUCCUUAACGAAAAUUUCCUAUGUUUACAGUCUGUCUAUUGGUAUGCAAUCUUGUAACUUUGAUAAUGAACAGUGAGAGAUUUUUAAAUAAAGCCUCUAAAUAUGUUUUGUCAUUUAAUAACAUACAGUUUUGUCACUUUUCAAGUACUUUCUGACUCACAUACAGUAGAUCACUUUUUACUCUGUGUUACCAUUUUGACUGGUCGUCAUUGGCAUGGGGUGGAUAUAGGGCAUAGGAUUACUUGUCUCAGAAGCUGUCAUAGAAUUUCUUGCUGCCAAUUAAAAAACCUGUGUUCUUUACACACUACACGUAUAAAUAUUGUAACUGUUCAUCUUUGUUGUUUUAUCACUGUAAGCCUGUCAAAUCAUAGUAUCCUAAGCAUCUGUAAAUGCUAAUUUUGCAUUUUUGGAAAAACCCAUUCCUUCCAAGCUAGUGUUUUUCAUUGGCUCCAGGUCUAAUUUUUCACUGUGGUCCCUGGCAGCCAGUCUUUUGAAGUUUAAAGAUUACCUGUCUCUUGACUGCAGUACCUUUUCUUUAAUUUUUACCAAAAAUAUCCAGAGGUUACUGGAGUUCUUAUUCAAUAUAAGGAAAGUUUGCUGCACUUUAUUACCAAGCCUCUGGGAUUUUACCAGUCAAACAUAUUUGUGCAUUACAUUUCAUUUCUUGUGAGCUAGCUGGCUGUCCAUAUUGAAUGUUGACCCAUUUGAGUACGCUAAAAGGCUUACAGUAUCAGACACGAUCAUGGUUUUAGAUCCCAUAAUAAAAAUGAAUGUUUUUCUUAUAAAAAAUUAUACAAAUGCUGAAGUGAGAUUCUACUAUUGUUCAUUGCUUCCUUUUCUUUUUCCUUUUGCGAUUUUCACUGAUUAAUAGCACAUUUCUUCACAAAAUUAGAUAAAGUUGGUCAAAGACCAGAUAUUCUGGAAUGGAAAUUGUAAAGCUUAAUCAAAAAGAAUAGCCAGUACAGCAUACAAUCUCAGAAACUUAGAAGCAAGUAGAAAAUAAUUGGUUGAUGUAAACGAAAGUGCCAUUUUAGUAAAGGCAGGAAAAAAAUAGCAAUAUUUGAGUUAUGUAAGGAUAAAAAAUCCACUGACUUGUAUUUUUGCACAAGAGGCUGGUCUGAAUAUGAUUGUUCACAUUAAGAGUGUUUAUUCGUCGGUUCAUUUUGGGGAUUUUCCCCCUUGAUGUUUUGACAGAUUGAAGUGAGCUUUAGUGAGCAAAAGGAUCAGAAUGCAGGGAACACUAAGCUGUGAUGAAGAAAGUGUGGUAAAAAGCCAGAGUAGUUUUAUACAGACAAAACCAGUGUCAGGCCUUUGCAGUAGGCUUGAGUGAACUUCUGAUCUAGAUUUGAAAGUAAAUUUUAUGAAGACAUUGCCCAUUUUUACUUCCUCAUUCAUUAUUGUACCAGCAUCAUAGCUUUAUUACUCUAAUCCCAGGUAAGUCAAGCCUACAAUGCCCUAGAGGAAGAGUAAAACCAGAAAUUCAUGCUGGCUUAAAUAAUCUAUUUUUGUUUCUUUUCAUUUGAAUAUUUAAAUUUUAUGGUUUAUUAAAAAAUUAAAUAAA
rnacentral:lncRNA from 1 species